GGGCAGCAGUGGGGAAUAUUGCGCGAAUGGGCGAAAGCCUGACGCAGCAACGCGCGUGGGUGAUGGAGGCCUUCGGGUUGUAAAGCCCUGUCGGGUGGAACGAACAGGUCCUGAGGAGGGACUCUGACGGUACCAUCGGAGGAAGCACCGGCUAACUUCGUGCCAGCAGCCGCGGUAAUACGAAGGGUGCAAGCGUUGCUCGGAAUUAUUGGGCGUAAAGCGCGUGUAGGCGGUCUGAUAAGUCGGACGUGAAAUCCCUAGGCUUAACCUAGGAACUGCGUUCGAAACUGCCAGACUAGAGUAUCGGAGGGGAUGGUGGAAUUCCCGGUGUAGAGGUGAAAUUCGUAGAUAUCGGGAGGAACACCUGUGGCGAAGGCGACCAUCUGGAAGAUUACUGACGCUGAGACGCGAAAGCGUGGGGAGCAAACAGGAUUAGAUACCCUGGUAGUCCACGCCGUAAACGAUGAGUGCUAGGUGUUGCGGGUAUUGACCCCUGCAGUGCCAAAGCUAACGCGUUAAGCACUCCGCCUGGGG
rnacentral:rRNA from 1 species